rnacentral:rRNA from 1 species
UACGUAGGGUGCAGGCGUUAAUCGGAAUUACUGGGCGUAAAGCGUGCGCAGGCGGUUUGCUAAGACAGGUGUGAAAUCCUCGGGCUUAACCUGGGAACUGCGCUUGUAACUGGCAAGCUAGAGUGUGGCAGAGGGGGGUGGAAUUCCAGGUGUAGCAGUGAAAUGCGUAGAGAUCUGGAGGAACACCGAUGGCGAAGGCAGCCCCCUGGGCUAACACUGACGCUCAUGCACGAAAGCCAGGGGAGCAAACGGG